UACAGAGGGUGCGAGCGUUAAUCGGAAUUACUGGGCGUAAAGCGUGCGUAGACGGUAGCGUAAGUCAGAUGUGAAAGCCCCGGGCUCAACCUGGGAAUUGCAUUCGAGACUGCUCUGCUAGGGUGCGGAAGAGGGAAGCGGAAUUUCCGGUGUAGCGGUGAAAUGCGUAGAUAUCGGAAGGAACACCAGUGGCGAAAGCGGCUUCCUGGUCCAGCACCGACGUUCAGGCACGAAAGCGUGGGGAGCAAACAGG
rnacentral:rRNA from 1 species